rnacentral:lncRNA from 1 species
GGGUGCCGACGGUCUCGUUUACCUAGCAGCUCGGCUAGUCGGGCACUAGUAGUGCGCUUCCUCGCGGCUGUCGUAAGUCCCACGCUGUUGACUGUGACACCGAUCUCCGAUUCUGUCCUCGAGGCACUAAAGAUGUGGCGAAGGCCCGAAGUGAGGCCGCUGCCACUGCACUUUGUCCUGCGACUCCCCAAGGACUGGCCGAGGAAUGGCGGGCUAGCCACUUCCCAGUCCUGUCCCUACGGGAUCUGAAAAGACUCGGCAUCCCGGGAUCUGGAGGGUCACUUCCCUCGCUGCAUCCCCAUUGUGCAACUGCCAGUCUCAAAAUUGAUGUAGGUUAAUCUCCUGGAGAAACUAGAGGCAGCCAAGGAGGAUGCUGUUGCAAGAGAUUCCAGGAAAAGAUAAUGAUAAUGUGGACUUGGAAGAUGGCAGAGGAGUUGCAGAAAAGUGACCAGAUUUUAGAGAUGUCCAGCUCCAACCUGGUUUCAUAGACAUGGUAAUACUGGAACAACCUCUUCUCCAAGAUUCUCAGGCAGUCAGAGGCCCUGAGAAGAGAGGAUCAGAAUAAAGAUUGAUUUCCUCAUUGAUGUGAAUUUUGUCACAACCACCAUCUUUGGAAUUCAGAUGUUACUAUGGUCAUGGAAGACCCAGCAUGUGGGGGAAACUUCUUUAUUCUGCUAUCCAAAUAUAAAAUCUAUACAGAAGUAGCUCCUUUGUCCCUUAACCUUAGUAAGCAAAUUUGAUUAAGCAUUUGAAAGCUAUAGAGGUGCAAGGUGGGAGAAAUUCUGCCUCUGCUACUUGGCAGCUCUAUGAUAUUGGGCAAACCACUCAUACCACAUUUAUUUUCCUUAUAUUCAAAAUGGACAUAAUAAUACCUUCUUACUUAUCUCACUGGGUUAUUGGAAUGAUCAUAGUGUUUGGGUGGUUGGUUGUUUCUAGGAGGUAAUAAUGUAUGUGAAAAUAAUUGGUAUAUGGAAAAGGAUUAAAUACUAGUGCUGAAACAUUAUACAUGUUAACAUGCCUUUAAAUCUGUCUCCCUACCAUUCCAUCAUUUAUUUUCAGAGUCAGUUUUACUGAGAUACAAUUAAUGUAUUAAUGUAAGUGUACAGCUCAAUGAGUUUUGACAAAUGUAUACAGAUAUAUAACUACUACCACAAUCAUAAUAUAGAAUAUAUCAAUGGCCCCCCAAAUUUCCUCAUGCCCCUUUGCAUUUUUAUACUUUAAAAGUCAAUAUAUACCCAAGAGUGAUUAAAACAUACCUUCCCAAAAACUUGUGCGUAAAUAUUCUUA